GAGUCUUUCUUCGGGACAGAGGAGACAGGUGGUGCAUGGUUGUCGUCAGCUCGUGUCGCGAGAUGUUGGGUUAAGUCCCGCAACGAGCGCAACCCCUGUCCUUAGUAGCCAGCAGUUCGGCUGGGCACUCUAGGGAGACUGCCAGGGAUAACCUGGAGGAAGGUGGGGAUGACGUCAAAUCAUUAUGCCCCUUAUGAUAUGGGCUACACACGUGCUACAUGGCGUAAACAAAGAGAGGCGACCCUGUGAAGGCAAGCAAAUCUCAAAAAUAACGUCUCAGUUCGGAUUGUAGUCUGCAACUCGACUACAUGAAGCUGGAAUCGCUAGUAAUCGCGAAUCAGAAUGUCGCGGUGAAUACGUUCCCGGGUCUUGUACACACCGCCCGUCACACCAUGGGAGUCGGAUAUGCCCGAAGUCAGUGACCUAACCGCAAGGAAGGAGCUGCCGAAGGUGGAGCCGAUGACUGGGGUGAAGUCGUAACAAGGUAACCAAUC
rnacentral:rRNA from 1 species